rnacentral:lncRNA from 1 species
UGGGAAAAUGCAGUUGGUUUAUGGUCGCUCAAUCUCCCUGCCACCAGGGAAAAUGCAGUUGGUUUAUGGUCGCUCAAUCUCCCUGCCACCAGCUUCAACUCUCCCUGUAAGCAUAACACUAAUCACAAAAUUAAGCAAGAGUAAUAACAAACUCCACACACAAAUAUUAUUAUUUCAGUCAAAAAAAGAGAUAAGAAUUUUCUUAACUUUCCAAGCUGAUGCCGCACACACUUGUCUAAGAAUUAUAUUAUAUCUUAUAAAUACGUGAAAAUUUACUAAAUAGAGCAAAAAAUCCACAUAUUAAAGAAAAUUAUAUAGUAUAUCGAGGAUUUGUAAGAACCCGUUAGAAUAGGCAUAGAUGAAAGAGAUAAAAUAGUUAUCUGAAAACACAAUUCCAUGGGUAGCAAGUCGUGACGAAAUAUUCUAUAAACCCGUGUCUCAUACUUUUAACAUUUUUUUCUUACCAGGACCAGGUCCAAGAUACUGCUAGAACCAUUACUUGUACUUUGAUAGGAAUCCAAUUAGCCAAAUAGGCAGCAAUCCCAGCAAGCAAUUGCUUCAACUACAGACUUGACAGCUUCCUUAACACCAUAUGGUGUCUUCAAAAUACAUAUUUUCCAAGUUCAAAAUAUUUAUAUAUAAAUUAAAACCAUAUUAGAAAUUAGAAAAAUAUCAUAUUUAGAACAAAUAGAUAUGACUUUGGGGAUCAAACUGUUCACAUAUUGGCAGAAUCAAAUAGUGCUUUAAAUUAAAUAAAAUUAUUAUAAAAUUUUAAGUUGAAGAAAUAUUCUCUAGCAGUUUUAACCAUUCUGGAAUUCUGUAUAGUAUGGAUGUAACCACAAAUUCAAUAAUGAAAGCAUGAUUUUUUCUCAAUUCUGGUUUGCUCGAGGAGGGCUGGUUCUCUUUGCACGGCCAAUUAACUUAAUAAUAAAGGAUUCAAUUAAGGAAUUUUUUUAAAGUCCAAAAUAAAUACCGACAAAUGCAUACACAGAGAAAUCAGAAUAAGAAAAAAUAAAAACAGCAUAAUUGUACAGAUUAGAAAUCUUAUUAACAUAUAUCAAGCCUCGGUCAAAGAUAUAUAUAGCUUGUUACUUGUUGCUUUAAACUUUUUACUUGUUGGUCGAUACUCUUGCUUCAUCACAGGAAAAUGUUAGCUUGGGACAAUGGACUUUCUCUAGAUAACUCAAUUCUGAAAUUGUUUUUGCAUUUCUUUCCAAUUCAUUGCUAGUCCAUUCCAUCCACCAACAUCCUCACUGAUUAACUUUAAAAUUCACUCAUAUUAAACGAAACAGGAAAAGUUAAUAUUGCUCAGUUGGUAACAUAUUGAUUAAAGCAGCACCACGCAGAUUAGCAUUUCUCAUCACAUUGAGAGCACUAAAAGUUGUGAAGUGUGUGCGCGUGCAUAUAUCAAUUACCACUUUUAGUUAUCUUACCAGACACCAUCUUCACAUUGCAAAUUUUUCACUAACAUCAUUGAAAGUUGGCAUCAAAAUUUUGGCUCCCCGUUUUGAUGCUUGCUCCACCAGCAUUAGACUGUUAGACAUCUCAGCGUGGUCAUUAUCUUGAUGAAAACAACAAACUUGAAGGUAUAUAAGUUGUAUUUGUCAUAAUCAAAAAGAUUGCUUNN